rnacentral:rRNA from 1 species
GUACUUCAGGAAUAAGCACCGGCUAACUCCGUGCCAGCAGCCGCGGUAAUACGGAGGGUGCGAGCGUUAUCCGGAAUCACUGGGUUUAAAGGGUGCGUAGGCGGGAUAAUAAGUCAGUGGUGAAAUCCUGCGGCUUAACCGUAGAAUUGUCAUUGAUACUGUUAUUCUUGAGUUCAGUUGAGGUGGGCGGAAUGUAUAAUGUAGCGGUGAAAUGCUUAGAUAUUAUACAGAACACCGAUUGCGAAGGCAGCUCACUAAGCUGAUACUGACGCUGAGGCACGAAAGCGUGGGGAGCGAACAGGAUUAGAUACCCUGGUAGUCCACGCUGUAAACGAUGAUCACUCGCUGUUGGCAAUACAUCGUCAGCGGCUGAGCGAAAGCAUUAAGUGAUCCACCUGGGGAGUACGUCGGCAACGAUGAAACUCAAAGGAAUUGACGGGGGCCCGCACAAGCGGUGGAACAUGUGGUUUAAUUCGAUGAUACGCGAGGAACCUUACCUGGGCUUAAAUGCAGAACGACGGUUCCCGAAAGGGAUCCUUCUUCGGACGGACCGCAAGGUGCUGCAUGGUUGUCGUCAGCUCGUGCCGUGAGGUGUCGGGUUAAGUCCCAUAACGAGCGCAACCCCUAUUGUUAGUUGCCAGCGAGUAAUGUCGGGGACUCUAACGAAACUGCCGGUGUAAACCGAGAGGAAGGUGGGGAUGACGUCAAGUCAGUAUGGCCUUUAUGUCCAGGGCUACACACACGCUACAAUGGCCAGUACAGAGGGCAGCCAAGCCGUGAGGCGGAGCUAAUCCCACAAAGCUGGUCUCAGUUCAGAUUGCAGGCUGCAACCCGCCUGCAUGAAGUUGGA